GGUGUAGCUGACUCAAAAAGUUCUUUG
rnacentral:piRNA from 1 species